UCACUUGAUGCGAAAAAACAAGCAUGCGAUAUUGAAAAAUCUAAGGAUGAUGGUGAUAAUAGUGUUGAAAUUAUUUCUUAUGGUGCAAUGUUCAGUCCAUACAAGUCUAAGCUUCAACGUCAAUUUAGUGAAGAGGAUCGGAAGUAUGAGAAUCAAAAGAAAAGAUCUAAGAGACUCUCUGAAU